rnacentral:lncRNA from 1 species
ACCUAAUCACAUUCAAAUAGAAGUGGGCUUGAUAUGUUAUUGUUCACAUACUUCUUUUAGUGUUGCAGUAUUACAGUGAUCUGGAUUAGACAAUGAAUUGAAUUCUGAUUGUGGAUGAUAGAAUGUUUUUUUGUAAAAAAAAAUCAUGUCAUAAUGUAUUUUGAUUGUCUUGUUUAAUUUAUGUUUGUUGUAGCCCAAAGAUUAUGAACAAGCAAAGACUCUUUUUCACAUCGUCAACAACUACCAAUGCGGCGGUUAGUGUAUAUAUCCAAGCUUUCAUAUUAUUUACCUUGAAUGAAUAACCUAAUAUUCUUUCUGUUGAUCACUGAAGGACUCACUUUUGUACUGAUGUCAGUCUGGACUGUGGAGACAAUAUAGUCUUCUGCCAUAUUUCCAAAUUAAGUCAACCAAUCUCGUUUACUUGGGAAAUAAUCAUGUUUUAGAGCCUUCCAAAC